rnacentral:lncRNA from 1 species
GUAUGAGAAAAAAAUUCACUUUGAGACAUUUGGAAAGGCAUAUGUCUAGUGUGCCUAACUGCUGCAAAUGGAAGCAACAACAAUGAAUUUAAUGGUUAGCAGAUGAGCCUGGAGGCAGAGACCAGGCACUGAUCACUGCUAUAUCCAAAGUAAAUUUAGUUCUGAAACAGGCACAGAGCGAAGAUGCUGCUGGAAAAGUAUAAACUCACAGAAAGCACAGCAAACAAUCCAGCGCUCUGAAACUUACACAAGUGUUAAAAUCUA